rnacentral:rRNA from 1 species
GGACCUCAAAUGAUGUGCGACUACCCCUAAAUUUAAGCAU